AUUGAACGCUGGCGGCAUGCUUUACACAUGCAAGUCGAACGGUAACAGGGAGCUUGCUCCGCUGACGAGUGGCGAACGGGUGAGUAAUGCAUCGGAACGUACCGUGUAAUGGGGGGAUAACGUAGCGAAAGUUACGCUAAUACCGCAUACGCCCUGAGGGGGAAAGUGGGGGGACCGCAAGGCCUCACGUUAUACGAGCGGCCGAUGUCGGAUUAGCUAGUUGGUGGGGUAAAGGCCUACCAAGGCGACGAUCCGUAGCGGGUCUGAGAGGAUGAUCCGCCACACUGGGACUGAGACACGGCCCAGACUCCUACGGAGGCAGCAGUGGGGGAUAUUGGACAAUGGGCGAAAGCCUGAUCCAGCAAUGCCGCGUGAGUGAUGAAGGCCCUAGGGUUGUAAAGCUCUUUUACCCGGGAUGAUAAUGACAGUACCGGGAGAAUAAGCUACCGGCUAACUCCGUGCCAGCAGCCGCGGUAAU
rnacentral:rRNA from 1 species